GGUUCGAUUAUGGCUCAGAUUGAACGCUGGCGGGAUGCUUUACAUGCAAGUCGAACGGCAGCACGGACUUCGGUCUGGUGGCGAGUGGCGAACGGGUGAGAAUUAUCGAACGUGCCUAGUAGCGGGGAUAACUACGCGAAAGCGUAGCUAAUACCGUAUACGCCCUUCGGGGGAAAGCGGGGACCCUGGGCCUCGCACUAUUAGAGCGGCCGAUAUCGGAUUAGCUAGUUGGUGGGGUAACGGCUCACCAAGGCGACGAUCCGUAGCUGGUUUGAGAGGACGACCAGCCACACUGGGACCGGUGAGAUGACGGCCCAGACUCCUACGGGAGGGCGCAGUGGGGAAUUUGGAGAGUCGGGGGAACCUUGAUCCAGCCAUCCUGGCGUGUGCGAUGAAGGCCUUCGGGUUGUAAAGCACUUUGGCAGGAAAGAAACCGCACGGAUGACAAUUUUCGCAGAAUGACGGCACUACAAGGGAAUGGGCGAAUCGGCUAACUACGCCAGCAGCCGCGGUAAUACGUAGGGUGCAAGCGUUAAUCGGAAUUACUGGGCGUAAAAGCGUGCGCAGGCGUUCAAAAGAAAGAUGUGAAAUCCCAGAGCUUAACUUGAAACUGCAUUUUUAACUGGUCGAGCUAGAGUGUGUCAGAGGGAGGUGAAUUUCCCGCGUAGCAGUGAAUGUGCAGAUAUGCGGAGGAACACCGAUGGCGAAGGCAGCCUCCUGGGAUAACACUGACGCUCAUGCACGAAAGCGUGGGGAGCACCAGACGAUCCGGGUAGUCCACGUCCUAAACGAUGUCAAUCUUAGCUGUUGGGGCCUUUCUGGGCCUUAGCAGCUAACGCGUGGAAGUUGACCGCCUGGGGAGUACGGUCGCAAGAUUAAAAACUCAAAGGAAUUGAUAAAUGCAACAAGUGGUGAUAUACUUAACGGAUGCAACGCGAAAACCUUACCUACCCUGGACAUGUCUGGAAUCCCGAAGAGAUUUGGGGAGUGCUCGCAAGAGAACCGGAACACAGGUGUUGCAUGGCUGUCGUCAGCUCGUGUCGAGAUGUUGGGUUAAGUCCCGCAACGAGCGCAACUCUCUUGUCAUUAGUUGCUACGAAAGGGGCACUCAUCGAGACUGCCGGUGACAAACCGGAGGAAGGUGGGAUGACGUCAAGUCCUCAUGGCCCUAUGGGUAGGGCUUCUCACACGUCAUACAAUGGUCGGGACAGAGGGUCGCCAACCCGCGAGGGGGAGCCAGUCCCCAGAAACCUGAUCGUAGUCCGGAUCGCGGUCUGUAACUCGACUGCGUGAAGUCGAAUCGCUAGUAAUCGCGGAUCAGCAUGUCGCGGUGAAUACGUCUUCGGGUCUUGUACACACCGCCCGUCACACCAUGGGAGUGGGUUUUACCAGAAGUAGUUAGCCUAACCGUAAGGAGGGCGAUUACCACGGUAGGAUUCAUGACUGGGGUGAAGUCGUAACAAGGUAAA
rnacentral:rRNA from 1 species